rnacentral:lncRNA from 1 species
CCAAGAUCGUGCCAUUGCACUCUAGCCCAGGUGACAGUGCGAGACUCUGUCUUAAAAAAAUAAUAAAAAUAAAAAUAAAAACUGACAUAAUUAAGAACUUGAGAAAAAGACAAAUCUUAGAAACAAAAACUGCAUUACUAGGUAGCCAAGGGAGAACAGGAAGACAAAAAAUACAGUAAGAGACAUAACAGAUAGAAAUAAUAAAAACCAAGAAAAUGGAAGCAGAAAGAACAGGAUACAAGCACAAUCGAACACAAGUAUCAUUAGAGAACCUGAAGAAGAAAAACCAAAUAAUAGACUAGGACUAAUUGUAAAACUAUAAUCAAGAAAACUUUCCUGAGGAAAAAAAAAAGUUCUGAAUCUACAUAUGGUAAAGAGACAGCACAUGUAUGAAAAAUAGACCGCAAAAGAUAUCUUAACAAAUUAUUGUAAUUUAUAGAACACUAAAGCCCAGACUUCACCACUACACAAUAUAUCCAUGUAACACAACUGCACAUGUACUCUCUAAAUCUAUAAAAAUAAAAAUAAAUGAUCAGUAAUGAUGGCCCAAUGGAUACCUUCCAGAAGAAAUGGAAUCAGUCUUCCCCCUUGUGGAUAACUAGCAAAAGUACCUUAUUUUCCCCACUAAAAGUUACAUGUUAGAGUUUUGAGGGAACCACAGGCUAUGUGUUUUUUCCUUCUCAUCUAAAGGUAAUAGGAAGUCAUUUUAUAUAAAAUUUGUGAGCCAGACACGGUGGCUCAUGCCUGUAAUCCCAGCACUUUGGGAGUCCAAGGCAGGCAGAUCACUUGAGCCCAGGAAUUAGAGACCAGCCUGGGCAACAUGGUGAAACCCCUUCUCUACUACAAAUACAAAAAAUUAGCUGGGUGUGGUGGCACAUGCCUGUAGUCCUAGCUACUCAGGAGGCUGAGGUGGGGGUUUCACUUGAGUCUGGGAGUUAUAGGCUGCAGUGAGCCCUCCUGGAACCAGCACCAAUGAACUACAGCCUGGGCCACGGAGUGAGACCCUGUCUCAAAAAAAUAUAUAUAUAAUAAUAAGAAAUUAAAUUAAAUUUGUGAUAAAGUACACAUAUCUCUGUAAUAGCUAGCUGGCUUUAUGACUGGUAUUUUAAAAUAGCACAAUUUUUUAAAAAGUAAAAUGAGUCAAAGAGAACAAAAUGGAGGAACAUUUACAAGAAAGCAAGGAAAGUGUGAAGUGAGGCUUCUAUAACCAAGCAAGAUUCCUUCACAUAUCCAAGCUAUGGAGAAACAGUUUUGAACAUGCUGGAACUCAGGGGAUGCUGACCCAUGAGCUUUUUUCAAGAAACCUGACACCUGGGAAAACUGGUGAAACAAGAUUAAUAGUGAGUGUUUAAUAUAUUUAACUGAAGAUCUAAGACUAAACCAAAGGUAAGAUAAGAAUCAAAGGAUGAUAUAGAAACAUGUUCUCUGACAAAGUCAGAAAAAAGCACAACCUAAAAAAAGAAAGAGAGGGAAAAGCAUAAUUAGCUCAAUGAUUUACUUACAAAAGUUGGGAAACAAAUGACAUCAUUUCAAGCUACCAAAAAAAAAAAGCAGAAGCUUAAAUAUAUUUAGGUGCACAGAGUGCAAGUAAAGAAAGAGAAUAUGCAUUAUUCUAAUCAUUAAAAUUGAAUGGCAGAGAAAGGAAGGAAAGAGGAGUUUGCAAAACAAAUUAUAUUCUUCUUGCUUACAGUAGAGACCCAGUCAAUAUUAUCUAAAGGAAAGAAGGAAGAAUGGGUAUUAUAAAAACGUCAGUACUAAUACAAAAGUUCAAACAUUUCCAAUUAUCAAAAGCAAAAAACAGAACAGAAAAACUAAGAAAACAGAACACAUGGCAAAAGUUUUUUAUAACUCUUUUUGAAAAAAAUGAAGCAUUUUUUAAUGCCAGAACUGGGUAUAAACAUGUGGUGAGAGCUUAUAAUUUUAUGUUGCCUUGGCAUCCAUCUUAAAAUAUGUUUUAACUUUCUCAUACCAGAAGCAGGGCUCAGUCAGCCUUGACACCGUUUCUAAUACUAUUCCCCACUGGAAUGGCUCCAGUUGGUGGCCAGAGAUACUGCUUCAUUUCAAGGAACCAUUCAGACAUUUGCCUGCAAACUUAACGUGACCGCCUCUCAGUCAGGGGGACCUCCUGGAACCAGUGCCUGCUUGCUUUAAAUUCAACAAUUAAACCUGUUUGGAUAACACUCUGAACCCAAUAAAGGUAUUGGUCUACGGGUCCCUUCUCUCUCUCUCUCUCUCUCUCUCUCUCUCUCUCUCUGCCUGUACUCCUUGGUGUGUGGUGUGUGUGUGUGUGUGUGUGUGUGUGUGUGUGUGUGUGUGCGCGCGCGCGCGCCCGCGCUCCCUCCAGGAUCUGUAAGUACCAAAAACGCUUAAACUUUCACACUGCGGUUGUGUCACUGAAGCAGUGCCUGAAAUCUAAUCCCUGAGUGUGACGCCGCCCCAAAGGGCCCCAAGCAGGCCCCGCAAGAGUGACGCUGCCAGGCAGGCGCCGCCCUGUUCGGUUCCUGCUGCUGUCGCUCCUCGCUCCCCACCACCUCCAGAGCUCCGGUGGGUCACCAUGGAAAGGGAAGCCGCUGCCUGCAAGGCCAGCAGACACAGAGGUCACCCUCCAAUUUUUUCGGGUAACAUUCUGUAAGGACAGAACACCAGGAGGCUACUCCUACCACCAGGAGCAUGUCAGGUAAACAUCCAGAGAGAUGAAGGAAGAAAAAAUUUUAUUUUAGCCACCAAGAAAUACAAGCCGUUCUAAAGAUUAUACUUAAAAGAAAAAAAAAACAAAAAAAGGAAGGAAAAAGGGGACCGAUGAUCUUGCAAUCACGGAAGUUGUAGAGAGCUGGCUGCCUAGAGACACUGUGCCCUUCCCUCCUCCCUCUUUUCCUCUUAUCAACCAGAGGCAGAGACUAAGAAUGCCUUCAAGCAACUAAAGCCUAAAAUAAAAAAGAAAGAAAAGAGGAAGAGGGAGAGGGAGGGAGAGAGAGAGAGAGAGAGAGAGAGAGAGAGAGAGAGAGAGAGACUGUUGCUUUAUGCUAUUACAAGUCCAAGAAAAAAAAAAAAAGAGAUGAACUUUAAACUUUAAAUACUUAGCAGCUGCCAGGUCUAGCAAACAUGCUAGCCCUAGAUCACUUACUGAUUUAUAAACAAACCCCUAGAUACAGAGGGGGAAAAAGGUAAUUAAAUAAAAGUUAUAUAUAAUAUUUUAACAUAAAUAUAUGUUGAUAAAUGGUGUAUAUGAUAUAUUUGCAUCUUUUGAUAUAGUUAGAAGUUCAUAAUGCAUAUAGCAAUUUAUAUAUCAAAGAAUUUACAUAACAAAAAGAUUAAAAAGGACACGUACUGGCUUUGUGCUUCUACAAGGUCAGUUCUAAUUUAACUUUAACAAUUUGUUAAAAUGCACUAACAAAAAUGCAUGGACUUAAUAUUGGGGCUCAAAUUAUAUUUAUACCUGGGGAAUUCCACUAAACUUAAACACUCUGCCCAUGUAAUCUUGAGCAGGUAACUGAAUAUAAUAUUUUGUAAAUGAAUAUGCCUUGCAUAUUCAUUUGUAGCAUGGCCUAAAUUUCCCAUAGUUAUAUAUCCAUUGCUGUAAGAUAUUCUAUAUUAGGCAGAGAUGCUCUGACACAAUAAAUAACAAAUUAAAAUUAAAGUAAGUCUUUGGCACUUACAAAUUGACUUAAUAAAAUGGAACCCCUUGUACCCCCAGUUAAUAUAGUUAAUAUGGCCCAAAGUAAGUUGAAAUGGAUUAAAACCAAUUCUAAAAAACCUAUUAAUAAAGGCGUGAUUAUUCCCACUUCCCCAUUUAACAGCCCUUUCAUUAGGGCCCCUAUAUCCAAUACCUAAUAUUAUUAAAAUUGCUGAUUCCGUUCAAUCAACAACUGGUAAAUAUUUUGCUCUUGUGGAUUUGGCUAACGUGCUGUUUCAAUAGCGUCUUCACUGCAGUUCGCCUCCUCCUCUAAAAGAACACAGUACACCUUUUCAGACCUCUGCAGCUGUGUCAUCACAUGCAAUCUUUAAUUAAUCUUAACGACAUCCACCUUCUCCAGGAGCACUGGUAUGAGAGUACAUCCAGGACAUUCUCAGCCAAGGAGACUCACUUAAUACAUACAUUGAUGACAUUCGAGACCAAUAUUUCUUAGUACUUUUGGGUUUUGGUGGCAACAUAUUCCUCAUUUAUAAAUUUUACUUCUAAAUUAAAGUCUAC